UAGGGAAUAUUGCACAAUGGGGGAAACCCUGAUGCAGCGACGCCGCGUGAGUGAUGAAGGCCUUCGGGUCGUAAAGCUCUGUCGUAUGGGACUAACAAAAUGAAGGUACCAUGCAAGAAAGGAUCGGCUAACUUCGUGCCAGCAGCCGCGGUAAGACGAGGGAUCCUAGCGUUGUUCGGAAUUAUUGGGCGUAAAGCGGGUGUAGGCGGACUUAUAAGUCAAGUGUGAAAUCCCAGGGCUCAACCCUGGAAGUGCACUUGAUACUGCAAGUCUUGAGUGUGGUAGAGGCUAUUAGAAUUCCUGGUGUAGUGGUGAAAUACGUAGAUAUCAGGAGGAAUACCGGAGGCGAAGGCGGAUAGCUGGGCCAACACUGACGCUGAGACCCGAAAGCGUGGGGAUCAAACAGGAUUAGAUACCCCGGUAGUCCCUGAGCGGGCUGGCAAGGCGCAU
rnacentral:rRNA from 1 species